UAUCUCUGUAGAGUCUGCAUAUCAAUAAGCGGAGGAAAAGAAACUAACAAGGAUUCCCCUAGUAACGGCGAGUGGAGCGGGAAGAGCUCAAAUUUGAAAUCUUCAAGGUUCCACCUUGACGAAUUGUAGUUUAAAGAAGUGUUUUCGGUUAGAGGAGUAGUAAAAGUUCUUUGGAAUAGGACAUCAUAGAGGGUGAGAAUCCCGUAUUUGGUCAUUCCUUCUAGCUUUGUGAUACACUUUCAAAGAGUCGGAUUGUUUGGGAAUGCAGUCCAAAAUGGGUGGUAAAUUUCAUCUAAAGCUAAAUAUUGGCGAGAGACCGAUAGCGAACAAGUACCGUGAGGGAAAGAUGAAAAGAACUUUGAAAAGAGAGUUAAACAGUACGUGAAAUUGUCAAAAGGGAAGCGUUUGACACCAGUGUUGUUUUUCCGAAAAUCAAUUAAAAAUUGAUUCAUGCCAGGUUGUAUUGACCUUAUCAGCUUGCAAUUUGGUUUUGGGUCUCUUUUUGAUGCACUUUUCGGUUAACAAGUCAACAUCAAUUUCCUUUGCUGUAAAAAGGUAAGAGGAAGGUGGCUUCAAUUUCGGUUGAAGUGUUUAUAGCCUUUUAUCUCUGCAGUCGGGGAGAUUGAGGUCUGCAGCGUAGAUCCUUCGGGGCUAGAUACAUUUAUGCUAAGUUAUAGCUUUUCAUAGACAACUUGUUGACUAUGUUUAGUCAUGUAGCUUACUCGUAAGUGCUAUUUUACCUACGCUUAGGAUGUUGAGCGCAUGUCUCUCUCU
rnacentral:rRNA from 1 species